CAAAACAUAACUUUAAUCAAAGCAUUCAGCUUACACCUGAAAGAUGUCCACUAAACCGGACUAUUUUGGA
rnacentral:tRNA from 1 species